UACAGAGGUCCCGAGCGUUGUUCGGAUUCACUGGGCGUAAAGGGUGCGUAGGUGGUGAGGUAAGUCGGAUGUGAAAUCUCGGAGCUCAACUCCGAAAUGGCAUUGGAAACUACCUUGCUCGAGGGUUGGAAGGGGGACUGGAAUGCUUGGUGUAGCAGUGAAAUGCGUAGAUAUCAAGAGGAACACCAGUGGCGAAGGCGAGUCCCUGGACAACUUCUGACGCUGAGGCACGAAAGCUAGGGGAGCAAACAGG
rnacentral:rRNA from 1 species